UUUCCUCAUCCUUACUCCAGGGUUAUUGUUCUCCACACAUUCCCUGGCAUUAAUUGAGGAUAAAUAAAUUGUUCUGACCGUGCCUCUGGAUACUGUUUCCACAGGCUUUGUGUUUACUGAACAUACAUA